rnacentral:rRNA from 1 species
AUUGAACGCUGGCGGAAUGCUUUACACAUGCAAGUCGAACGGCAGCACGGACUUCGGUCUGGUGGCGAGUGGCGAACGGGUGAGUAAUGUAUCGGAACGUGCCCAGUCGUGGGGGAUAACGUAGUGAAAAUUACGCUAAUACCGCAUACGAUCUAUGGAUGAAAGCGGGGGAUCGCAAGACCUCGCGCGAUUGGAGCGGCCGAUAUCAGAUUAGGUAGUUGGUGGGGUAAAGGCCCACCAAGCCAACGAUCUGUGGCUGGGCUGAGAGGAAGACCAGCCACACGGGAACUGAGACACGGUCCAGACUCCUACGGGAGGCAGCGGUGGGGAAUUUUGGACAAUGGGCGAAAGCCUGAUCCAGCCAUUCCGCGUGCAGGAUGAAGGCCCUCGGGUUGUAAACUGCUUUUGUACAGAACGAAAAGGUUUCUACUAAUACUAGGAGCUCAUGACGGUACUGUAAGAAUAAGCACCGGCUAACUACGUGCCAGCCGCCGCCGUAA